rnacentral:rRNA from 1 species
CCUACGGGUGGCAGCAGUGAGGAAUAUUGGUCAAUGGACGAGAGUCUGAACCAGCCAAGUCGCGUGAGGGAUGACUGCUCUAUGGGUUGUAAACUUCUUUUAUAUGGGAGUAAAAUAUUCCACGUGUGGGGUUUUGUAUGUACCAUAUGAAUAAGGAUCGGCUAACUCCGUGCCAGCAGCCGCGGUAAUACGGAGGAUCCGAGCGUUAUCCGGAUUGAUUGGGUUUAAAGGGAGCGGAGGCGGAUUGUUAAGUCAGUUGUGAAAUUUUGCGGCUCAAACGUAAAAUUGCAGUUGAAACUGGCAGUCUUGAGUACAGUAGAGGUGGGCGGAAUUCGUGGUGUAGCGGUGAAAUGCUUAGAUAUCACGAAGAACUCCGAUUGCGAAGGCAGCACACUGGACUGCAACUGACGCUGAGGCUCGAAAGUGUGGGUAUCGAACAGGAUUAGAUACCCGUGUAGUC